CGGUUUUUUAAGUCUGAUGUGAAAGCCCUCGGCUUAACCGAGGAAGUGCAUCGGAAACUGGGAAACUUGAGUGCAGAAGAGGACAGUGGAACUCCAUGUGUAGCGGUGAAAUGCGUAGAUAUAUGGAAGAACACCAGUGGCGAAGGCGGCUGUCUGGUCUGUAACUGACGCUGAGGCUCGAAAGCAUGGGUAGCGAACAGGAUUAGAUACCCUGGUAGUCCAUGCCGUAAACGAUGAAUGCUAGGUGUUGGAGGGUUUCCGCCCUUCAGUGCCGCAGCUAACGCAUUAAGCAUUCCGCCUGGGGAGUACGACCGCAAGGUUGAAACUCAAAGGAAUUGACGGGGGCCCGCACAAGCGGUGGAGCAUGUGGUUUAAUUCGAAGCAACGCGAAGAACCUUACCAGGUCUUGACAUCUUUUGAUCACCUGAGAGAUCAGGUUUCCCCUUCGGGGGCAAAAUGACAGGUGGUGCAUGGUUGUCGUCAGCUCGUGUCGUGAGAUGUUGGGUUAAGUCCCGCAACGAGCGCAACCCUUAUGACUAGUUGCCAGCAUUUAGUUGGGCACUCUAGUAAGACUGCCGGUGACAAACCGGAGGAAGGUGGGGAUGACGUCAAAUCAUCAUGCCCCUUAUGACCUGGGCUACACACGUGCUACAAUGGAUGGUACAACGAGUUGCGAGACCGCGAGGUCAAGCUAAUCUCUUAAAGCCAUUCUCAGUUCGGACUGUAGGCUGCAACUCGCCUACACGAAGUCGGAAUCGCUAGUAAUCGCGGAUC
rnacentral:rRNA from 1 species